GUUUUUAUUUUGUAUGGAAAGCAGGAAAACUGAUAACGUUGAAAAAUACAUAAUAGAAAUGCUGAUUAUUGAAAAGAAACAAAAUUUACAAACAUUUGGCUUGUUGAGCUGUAUAAAAAUAACACUAAUUAAAACAAUUUAUUCAACUGCUCGACAUUUAUCCCCAGUGACCACAGAUCAUAAUAACAAUUAUGCAUGUCAUUAAAUGUGCACCAGAUUAGAGUUGGAAUCAAAUAAAAUGUACACAGAAGUACAGAAAUCUGCUUGCAACCUUAAAAGAACAUUGUUCACUUGCAAAGAAAUUGAAUUGACCUAGAUAGUCUGUGUUGAGAACCAGGGAAGUGUAGUUGAUAUCAAAAGUACCAAAAUAAUUUGGACCUCAUCAAACUCCUGACAACCUUCUCUCAUUACCUUUACAAUGACACAUUACGCUCUUAGCUAGGUGAGAGAAAUGCUGAUAAGAAUCUUCAGCACAGUUACAGAAAACGCAAUUGUUCUGGGAUCUCUGAGGAGGAACUCUUUUUCAUAUAACAACGUUGUGCCCGAAGGACCAGUUUUCACACUGUAAUUGUUUAAUAACUCCUCUUCCUCCUUCUCCUCCCUAAACCCACCUCAGUUUGCAGGACUGCACUUAGGUAAGGGUUCAGAAAACUGACCUUGAGUAAAUUCCUUUUUGUGACUCAGUUUGUCACUUGGGAAACACUGAUGGUCACAUCAGAAGACUUUCUGCAAUGUUACAGCACUGUCUUCACAGCAAAUUGGCACAGUCCUUUCUAAAUGUAGAUAUAAAAAGGAUGCACUUGGUUCAAAGGAAAAAGGACUAAACAGAAGGGGAGCAGGAGCUCCAUGCACUUAAAUCUCCUUCAUUCUGGCAGUUGGUGUUUGACAUUAAGGCAGACCUGGACCUUUGUUCUCAUCCUCUCCAGGUCUUGUGGCCACUUGGUUCUUUGGACGCAGAAUCUAGUGAACUCAAGGACCCCAACCUGCCCCAGUGGUCAAUCAGACUGGCUUAGAACCCUUCUGUCCAUACCACCCUCUGAAAUGUCGACCUUGACACAUUAGUGAGGUUGAAGCAUAACUGGGCAGCUUUUGUUAAGUUCACAUUAGCCUCAGCCUUCUGCAAAAGGGAAGGAAGGGAGGCAGGGAGGAAGGCAGGAAGGAAAGAAGGAUGGAAGGAAGGAAGGCACGAAGGAAGGAAGGAUGGAAGGAAGGAAAUAAGGGAGUGAGGGAGGGAGGGAGGGCGGAAGGAAGGAAGGAAGGAAAGAAAGAAAGAAAGAAGGAAGGAAGGAAGGGCUGGCUAUGCUUGGAAUUGAACUCUCAGAAACUAAAGCACUGGUGAGCUUGUUAAAGAUUUUAAAUGACAGCCCAGGUUUCCCAAACCAUGGCAGCCACAAAAGAAAUAUAAUUAUACUUAACAGAAGCCACCUGCAUUUUGAAGUUGCCCUAAAUUUAAAGCUUCUGGGAGAUUUAAUUAAAUUUAAUGAAAACCAUAGCUGCUAAACAAAGAUGUACUGUAGCUCCCAUUGAGUUAUUCCUGAGGAAAUUAAGUAGCAGUCAUGAAGACCUACCUCAGUUUUCACAUUUAAACCUCUGGAUAUUAACACCCAACAUCUAUAAAUAAGGUAACGCUCUCUUCUUUUCAUUAGCUGAUAACAUUGUCAAACUACUCACCUACUCCUGUAGGAAAAAGGAGAAACAGAACUAGAAGGAAAAUGAAGAGGAAGAAAGAAGGAAAUACAGGAAAGUUGUCCUGAGUGUGAAAUAGUGUAAUAUCCUAACUGACUUCUCACCCCUUGAGCCUCUCCACCACCUCCACCACUCCCUCCAGUGGCAUUUCUUUCAUUUUUAAACAAAUUGUAUGUUAUUUGCCAUUGCAGUGUAAGUGCCCAGUUAAUUCAGAUCAGGAUGGAUGUCUGUAAAUCACAGCACAAGAAUAUGCAGCUCUUAUGGUCCCAUAGUAGUCUCACUUAACCUAGACUAUUUACAUGUAGAAACAAUAGUGAUCCUUUUGAUGGAUUUUAGCAACAGGCUGGUAGAGAUACAGGGAAAGCUGACACCAGACAGAAAUUCUACUCUAGGACUAGGACAGGAAGAAGGAGGAAUUAAAGUGGCCUGAUCUGCCUUCACAGAGGUCAACCAGACAGUGGCAGAAAGGGUGCUCAGGCAUUAAUGUGCAUCAGAAUCCCCCAGAGGGCUUACUAAACACAGAUUACUGUAUGCUACCCUCAGAGUUUCUGAUUCAGUGGUCUGGAGUGGGGCCUAAAAACUUGCCUCUCUAACAAAUUUCCAGGAGAUGGUGAUACAAAUCAUCCACAGACCAUAUUUUGAAAAUCACUAGUCUAAGACAUAGUGUCUCAGAAGUUUAGAAAAUUGAGGCACUAUUUAGGAAGUGGUUUGGUACUAGGUGAGUCCAAUCCAAAACGCAGAAUGUAGUGUUGAGAAUACUCAGUUGCCAAUGAUAGGAAGUAGGCAGGUAAUGGCUGAGUCCCAGAAGGGCAGAGAAUAGAAAUUGACAAUUCACAUGUGAGGAAACACAUAUUUCUUA
ensembl:lncRNA